CCUACGGGGGGCUGCAGUGGGGAAUAUUGGACAAUGGGGGCAACCCUGAUCCAGCCAUGCCGCGUGUGUGAAGAAGGCCCUCGGGUUGUAAAGCACUUUCAGUGAGGAAGAACGCCUGGUGGUUAAUACCCAUCAGGAAAGACAUCACUCACAGAAGAAGCACCGGCUAACUCCGUGCCAGCAGCCGCGGUAAUACGGAGGGUGCGAGCGUUAAUCGGAAUUACUGGGCGUAAAGCGCGCGUAGGUGGCUUGAUAAGCCGGUUGUGAAAGCCCCGGGCUCAACCUGGGAACGGCAUCCGGAACUGUCAAGCUAGAGUGCAGGAGAGGAAGGUAGAAUUCCCGGUGUAGCGGUGAAAUGCGUAGAGAUCGGGAGGAAUACCAGUGGCGAAGGCGGCCUUCUGACUGACACUGACACUGAGGUGCGAAAGCGUGGGUAGCAAACAGGAUUAGAUACCCCGGUAGUC
rnacentral:rRNA from 1 species